rnacentral:rRNA from 1 species
GACGAACGCUGGCGGCGUGCUUAACACAUGCAAGUCGAACGGAAAGGCCCUGCUUUUGUGGGGUGCUCGAGUGGCGAACGGGUGAGUAACACGUGAGUAACCUGCCCUUGACUUUGGGAUAACUUCAGGAAACUGGGGCUAAUACCGGAUAGGAGCUCCUGCUGCAUGGUGGGGGUUGGAAAGUUUCGGCGGUUGGGGAUGGACUCGCGGCUUAUCAGCUUGUUGGUGGGGUAGUGGCUUACCAAGGCUUUGACGGGUAGCCGGCCUGAGAGGGUGACCGGCCACAUUGGGACUGAGAUACGGCCCUGACUCCUACGGGAGGCAGCAGGGGGGAAUAUUGCACAAUGGGCGGAAGCCUGAUGCAGCAACGCCGCGUGCGGGAUGACGGCCUUCGGGUUGUAAACCGCUUUCGCCUGUGACGAAGCGUGAGUGACGGUAAUGGGUAAAGAAGCACCGGCUAACUACGUG